UACGAGGGGGGCAAGCGUUGUUCGGAAUUAUUGGGCGUAAAGGGUGCGUAGGCGGUUUGGUAAGUCUGAUGUGAAAUCUAUGGGCUCAACUCAUAGUCUGCAUCGGAAACUGCCGGGCUUGAGUGUGGGAGAGGUGAGUGGAAUUCCUGGUGUAGCGGUGAAAUGCGUAGAUAUCAGGAGGAACACCUGUGGCGAAAGCGGCGACCUGGGUAGAUACUGACGCUGAGGUGCGAAAGCGUGGGGAGCAAACAGG
rnacentral:rRNA from 1 species